UCUGUUUCAAAUGGCGUCCAGCUUCAGAUUUUGCAGCUUUGAUGAUACCAGAUCCUGGAAACGGGAAAUUACUAGCAAAUCACAAGCAGAUCCCAAAGGCAAAAAGAUAUGACUUUGGAAGCUGAGCCCCCCAGGUCGGAAGGUGUCCAGUAUGCUACUGGGGAAGAGAAGAGGGCUAGUACUAGUAGUGCCAGAAAGAGUGAAGCAACUGGGCCAAAGCCGAAAGGACGCUCAGCUGUGGAUGCAUCUGGUGAUGAAAGGAAAGUCCUAUGCUGUAAAGAUCUACUCACCAUAGGAACCUGAAAUCUUGGAAUAAGAUACGAACUGGAUUUAACCUCCAACAGAACCCUUACAAAGGGAAGAAUUGCCAGGAAGAUGAUCUGCACUUUGCCUACUGGAAUGGGCUGGCCUGCUGUUUCCUUCCUUUCCUAGUACCCGUUCUCCAUUUGUCUUUUGCUUUUGAGAGACUGAGGAUCUCAUAGUGGAAGGUGAAGGUGAAAUAUUAUGCAGUUGCUAUCGGGCAGUUGCUUGAUGUGAGCCCAGGUACUUCUGGGAAUGUAUGCAGUGUAGGCUACUUGGACUCUUAAAAGACUAUUGGUAAGUAAUUAUGUACUGUGAAGGUGGUUAGGUAAUUUUCACUGGUCUAUCCCAGUUUGGAGUCUUAUCAAAUGUAUGGGAGUUGAAAUCCAACUAAUCUCUGGAUACUUGAUUGGGGAUGGCUGUCCAAACUUUUAAGUGUUAUGAUGCUAAUGUAUUUUGUGUUACUUGUUUCAUUCAGACCGAGCCGAAUUGCCUGUCCACAUUUUAACGAGCGCACCGAAGAUGCCUAAGUGGAGGACCUUCUCCCCGAGAAGAAAUGCAACUAAGAAAUUUUCCUGGAUCCAUUGUUUGGGAUGGGAAGGAUUUGGCAUUGUUUAUCCAUUAUGUCCCUUAUUCUGUUUUUCCUGCAGAAGCGAGAGGCUUACUUAUCAGCCUGAUUAGAAAGCAGUGGGAAGUUUACUUAUUUUCUUACUCAAUAAACCAUUCAUGGAUGAAUGACUUUGUUAUGUCUGUUGAAGCUGCAAAGGGCAAUGUCACUUAACUCCUGCAAAAUAGUUCCUACUGGUGAUAACUUUGGACUCCAGCAGCAGCAUUAUACACACACACACACACCCCAUCUGAGUAAACUCUUGCUGGUAAUGCUGCAAAGCAUGCCUUCUUUUUAAAAGAGGUUACUUUCUAACCCUUUCAAGUGUAGCUUUUCUUUUCUGUCCUACCUCUGCUCCUACGGUAGUAAGCAGGAAAAGGGUAGCCUUUGAAGAGCUAUACGGCUUACUUAAAGUACCAUAUGAUGCAGUGAGUUGUGAAUCUCUACUGUAGAUGCUACUUAGAACUGGGUCAAGCAGUCCUAAGCAGCCAAGUUCAGUGGCUGGGAAAGGAACAGCAAAAAAUUACUCUGCAGAGUUGGGGAAUCUUUUGACUUGCAGCAAAACGUUAGCAAUUAUUUGGAAGGUGUUCUUGGACUAUUAAAUGUAUCACAGCUGCCCAGUCAGAAAAUCUCCAAGCAAUGUUCUUUUCAAGGACAUUGCCUUUCCCUACAACUGGGUGUCUGCAACCUUUUCUGCUCCGUGUUUGUGGAUUUGUGCUCCCUUGAGAGAUUCCGGGUGAGACAAUGUAGUCCAUCUCGUGGGAGUUCAUGGUACCUUCAAGUAUUAGUCACAAAUAAAACACUACAAUAAAAAGUA